CCGCUAUUGGGAUUUCGAUAAUCCAUGCGAGUCGCGAGUCUUAGGACUCGGCGUACCGCUCAUUAACACGUGGGUAACCUGCACCUAUGCUGGGGAAUAACCUCGGGCAAACUGAGAAUAAUGCCACUCAUAGUUCACCACGCCUAGGAACUGAGCGAGGUGGAUCAAAGCUCCGGCCGGCUAUAGGAUGGGCCUGCGGCGUAUCAGGUCGUAGGGGGUGUAAUGUACCCUCUAGCCAUCAACGCGUACGGGUGUUGGGAGACAUUGCCCGGAGCAUGGAUUCUGAGACACCAAUCCAGACCCUACGGGGUGCAGCAGGCGUGAAAACUUGGCAAUGCGAGAAAUCAUGACCAGGGAACUCCAAGUGCAUCGGGUAAGACCGGUGCUUUUCUUGACUCUAAAUAGGUCUUGGAAUAAGGGGUGGCGUAAGGACGGUGCCAGCCGCCGCGGUAAUACCGGCGCCUCAAGUGGUAGGUCGCUUUUAUUGGCGCUAAAACGUCCGUAGCCGGUCUGAUGCAUUCGUGGGGUAAAUCAAGCGGCUCAACUGGUUGAAUUCUGCGAUGACAGG
rnacentral:rRNA from 1 species